UCAAACACCAGGAGAGGAUGGAUGGAAGCAAUAUUUAUCAGAAUUAGCUUUGGAAUCUCUGACUCAUAUCUGGAAUAUCAUCAGCCAUUAGCACUAGACAAAAUGUAGCCACUGACAAAUCUUCUGGGAUGCUAACUUUACAAAAAACUUCUACACCAAAGCUGAACCAAGGACAAAAUCAUUACAGGCUGGCAUCCUGAAAACAUCUACAUUAUAAGCAAACGGCACAGCCAGGAUUCAAUUUGGGAUUAGCGUGCUGACACUCCAAUGAUGCAUUGCGCCACUGGGCACAAAGUAAGCCGAGUACCCUGACCAAAGGCUCCCGAAGCAAUACAGAACUCCU